rnacentral:rRNA from 1 species
GACAGAGGUGCCAAGCGUUAGGCGGAAUCACUGGGCUUAAAGCGUGUGUAGGCGGAUCGUUAAGUACCUUGUGAAAUCCCACGGCUCAACCGUGGAACUGCCUCGGAUACUGGCGGCCUCGAGGGAGGUAGGGGCGUGCGGAACUGUGGGUGGAGCGGUGAAAUGCGUUGAUAUCCACAGGAACUCCGGUGGCGAAGGCGGCACGCUGGACCUUUUCUGACGCUGAGGCGCGAAAGCCAGGGGAGCAAACGGG